rnacentral:tRNA from 1 species
GGGGCGUUGGCCGAGUGGUCUAGGCAGCAAACUCAUAAUUUGCCUUACGGGGGUUCAAUUCCCUCACGCCCCA